AGAGAGACAGAGAGACAGAGAGAGAUUUUGGGGGUCAAGAAGGUUGGUGAAGUUGUCCCCUGUGGGUCUGGCCACUUUUCAUGUAGAACCAGACACAGGGGUCAGCUCGUGUCUAAGACAAGCAAGGACCGGGAGCAUAACAGAAGGAAGGAAUUUAAUAACGGACAGCGGUGGGACCCAGGAACCUCCGCCUGAGCCCUCUGGCAAGCCUGCACCAGGGAUGGAGCACUGCGCACAGCCCCUUCUGUUCCUGUGAGGGGCCUGGCCUCUCAGGACAACCUGCAUGUGAAGAAGGAGCAGCUGCCAGGAACCCAGGGAGGAUUCCGGGGAUGUCCGGGCGCGUUCCAGUCCAUCGAGCUGUCUGCACACAGGAGUGCCUCGCAGGCCACAGGUGGACGCCCCCCUCGCCCCUACUGGAGCAUUAAACACAUCCUCAGAGUUGCGUG
rnacentral:lncRNA from 1 species